ensembl:lncRNA novel transcript
GGGAGCUGGGCUGGACUCGGUCCUCAGAUCCUCGGAAGGCUCAGCUCUGGGCGGGGCAAGGGACCUUGCAAGUCGGGGGGGCCUCGGGAACUUCUCUCCGCCAGCUGCGACUGGAGGCUGGGAACAGGGGAGACGACCCAGGGCCACGGCCCCUCAGGACUUCAGGCGGCCGGAGGUUGUGGGGACGAAGCGGAGUCGGGAGCCGGGCUUCCGGCCCUCACUACCCCGUCUCGGCCCGCGGGUUGCCUGCGUGCCCGCCCCACCCAGCGGUAAAAUACCUGUUUUCUGACAAGACUAGGACUCUUACAUAGACUGCCAUGAACUACAAGAAGUAUAGCAUUGCUCAAAUAACCUGUGGUUAGAGUUACUUGUUAUUGGUAAAUAGCCACUGUGGAGACUAAGGACCAAAAGAAACACAGAAAGAAAUUUUACAGAAGAAAAACAGUGGGCCCAAAGCUGAAAAGAAAAAGAAGCAGCAUCUGCAGGAUCUCCAGCUAGGGGAUGAAGAAGAUGUCUGGAAGAGAAAUCCCAAAGCUUUUGCAAUUCAGUCUGCUGUGGGGAUGGCUUGAUCCUUUCACAGGACUCAGGAUUUGAAGACAAAAAAGCAUC